GACGAACCGUGCGAACGUUGUUCGGAAUCACUGGGCUUAAAGGGCGCGUAGGCGGCUUGCCAAGUCAGGGGUGAAAUCCUGCAGCUCAACUGUAGAAGUGCCUUUGAUACUGGCGAGCUCGAGGGAGGUAGGGGUGGGUGGAACUUCUGGUGGAGCGGUGAAAUGCGUUGAUAUCAGAAGGAACGCCGGUGGCGAAAGCGACCCACUGGAUCUCUACUGACGCUGAGGCGCGAAAGCUAGGGGAGCAAACGGG
rnacentral:rRNA from 2 species